GCAACCGAAAGCGCUCCUCCCGCCUGUUCUGUGCAGGAGACAGCCUGCGGAGCCCACAGGCGCGCCGAGAGCCCAGCAGCUCUUGAGUCCGGGAAGCAAGGGUGGGCGGAGGGAGGAGUCAGUGGCAAGGACCCAGACCUGGACGACCCCCAGUGCCGAGCCAGCGGAGCUGCUUGGAUCCAAAGUCCACAAAUAUCAUAAAUCUGAAGAGGACCUGGGAGAAGCUUCUGCUGGCAGCUCAUGCCGUUGUUGCCAUUGAAAACCCUGCUGAUGUGUCAUAUCCUGCAGGAAUACUGGCUAGUGGGCUGUGCUGAAGUUUGCUGCUGCCAUUGGAGCCACAGAUUCUCCUCUGAGCCAUGCGGACAUUGUCAUCCCAUGCAACAACAAGGAAGCUCAAUCACUGAGUCUAAUGUAGUGGAUGCUGGCCCAGGAAGCUCUGUGCAUGUGUUGCACCAUCUCCCAUGAUCAUGCCUGAUCUCUACUUCUAUAGAGAUCCUGAAGAGAUAGAAAAGGAAGAGUAGGCUGCAGCUGAAAAAGGAGGAAUUUCAAAGUGAAUGGACUGCUCCAGUGGAAGUUUACUGCUACUCAGUCUGAGGUUGCAGACUGGUUUAAAGGCAUGCAGGUGCCCUCUGCGCCUAUUCAGCAGUUCCCUACUGAAGACUGGAGCACUCAGCCUACCAUGAAUGACCGGUCCGCAACUCCCACUGCUCAGACCACUGAAUGGGGUCCAGGAGGCUGGUUUCAGACCUAUUGGGAGUCCCUCUGCAUUAGUGAGAAAAACGGCAAGAAAUGAGAGCACGCAGAAACCUACAAGACUAGAGCCACUGGAUGCCACCGACAGCACGCAGCUGGACCAGCACGGGGAAGGGCCUUCGUGGGUGGAGAGCUCGCUUGGGACAUAGUUGGAGAUUUUCUUUCAGAAGAAUCCCUGGCGGAGUCUGACCGGUUCUUUUGCGCACAGCCCCUGGGGUGGGCACAGCAGCCGCCCCUGCUGAAGGGACUGACGCCUCCGACCAGCAGCCCAGUUAAACGCGCUGUUCCGUGAGCAGCUAGCUGUGUUGGGGAGAGCGUGGUUCACAUUCUUUUCCAACGGAGCCACUGACUGCUGAGCUGGGAGGGUGAAGGGGUGGCCUGCCCCUCCACACCUGUGGACGUUUCUCGUUAGGUGGAACCAGAGACUUGAGAAAAGAAAUGAGACACAGCGAUCAAGUAUACAGAAAGAAACAGUGGGCCCAGAGGACCGGCACUCAGCAUACAGAGGACCCAAGCCGCACCGGUCUCUGAGUUCCCCCAGUAUCUAUGAUCAUUAUCUUUACCAUCUGGGAAAAGGGGAAG